GAAACCCGCCUGGGUCAUUUUCUCCACUUCCUCUUGCGCCGCUGUGGCUUUAGCGGCGCCCAUCCGUCGCUUCUUCUGCGCGAUCGGUUUGGCCUCCUUGAAGAUGGCCAUCUUGUGGGUCAUGACGGAUGGGUGAAUGCCCGACAUAUCCGACGUCGUCCAGGCAAACAAGUCACAGUUCUUCCACAGCAAAUCUCUCAGUUCCUUUUCAACCCUCGG
rnacentral:lncRNA from 1 species